UAGUUUGGCGCCUUCUGUUUGUUUAUCGCCGCUGUUUAUCGAGAAUAACUAGGCACAUGAAAUUAAUUGUAAGCUGAAAUCAAGAACUUAAAAAUCUGAAGGAAAGAUAGGUUCUUCAAGAAUUUAAACGUUUGACAGAGCUGGACCUAGAUGUUGAAUUCCUCAAACGCCUAGGAAAAUACAGGACUGGUUUGUUUAAGAUGGCAAGUGAUUCAGAUAUAAAGAAAUCCGUCUCACUGGCUAUCGAGAAUUCCCAAAGUCAAAGUGAUAGAGCACGACUGGAAGGCUAUGGAGCCCUGCUCAUAUUACCUGCAUUGAUGAAGGAACAACUGGGAACUUGCUUUGUGUAGAAGAGGAGAAACCAGAGGAUGUCAAGGAACCUGUCCUAGUUUACAACAGGAAUUUGCUUGAGGAUGCAGAGUUCACAGUCAUCACAGAGAAUGAAGUUGUAGCCAAACCUCUGGACCUUGUACAGGGUUUUGAAUGCUUGCUGGCCUGUUCAACAUUUCUUACUCCUCUUGCCUGGUAAAUACGUUGACAUUCAUACAGAAGAUUAUACUUAACCUCACAGAUGAUUCAACUACCCCAAGGAAAGUGUUGACCCUGCUGUGUAAGUUAAGCAAAUAAUGUUUUGUGACAGUUAAAUUGGAAGAAAAACUCUAAUGGGUUUAACAAAUUCAUUCCACUGUUAAGGUUACGAAUGUACGUGGUCACUUUGUUGAUGCACCAAUGAAAGUGGAUGCUACAAAAGUUAGGAUUGUAUUUUCUAGAAGUGUAAUUGUUUUAACAAACAUGUCCACAUUGUCGACAUAAUAUUAACAUACAUUUAAGUUGAUGUUAACCAAGUUAGAACUGAAUUUUCUAGAACUCUUGGUGUAAAAGGUUUAACAUUAAACUUGGUACCUCGUCUGUAUAUUAACAUGAAGUUGAUGUCAAAGAAGUUAGGUUUGGAUUUUAAGAGCUCUUGGUAUGAUAUUUUUAACGCUGAACAUAAGUAACCUUGUUAUAUUCACCUGAAGUUGAUGUCAAAGAAGUUAGAAUUGCACUAUGUGAAACUUUGGUCAUAAAUGUUUAAACAAAGAUGGUCCCCUUAGUGAGAUAUUAAGUACAAGUUGAUGUUGAAGAAGAUGAGAUUGCAUUUUCUGAAACUUUGGUCAUAAAUGUUGUGAUCUAAAACUACUGUUGUUAAUUAAAUAAAUAUUUUUGGCACUUCACCCAAAGUAUGGCAAAUACGUCAUUUCGUUUGACCAUCUACUUAAAGACAGUUUGUACUUUUUGUGUGAAAAGAGGAUUUACAUGUAAAUCUGAGACUGCUAUAUGUAGUACACAAAAGCUUCUCUUGGUGAACAGUGCCACCUUGUAUUUGAACCCAGGAGAAUGCAUGGUGAUCACGGAUAGUACCAGAAAAAGAGGAUUUACAUGUAAAUCUGAGACUGCUAUAUGUAGUACACGAAAGCUUCUCUUGGUGAACAGUGCCACCUUGUAUUUGAACCCAGGAGAAUGCAUGGUGAUCACGGAUAGUACCAGAAAAGAGGAUUUACAUGUAAAUCUGAGACUGCUAUAUGUAGUACACGAAAGCUUCUCUUGGUGAACAGUGCCACCUUGUAUUUGAACCCAGGAGAGUGCAUGGUGAUCACGGAUAGUACCAGUA